AAGUCGUAACAAGGUCUCCGUUGGUGAACCAGCGGAGGGAUCAUUACCGAGUUUUUAUUACUCAAAACCCUGCAAACCUACCUUAUUAUGCUUCGGUGGCCGGCCCCGGGGGGGCGCUAUAACGGUCACCGACAGUAUUCAAAAUCUCUGUCAUUGUAUUCUGAAUAAACAAAAAAAAACAAUCAAAACCUUCAACAACGGAUCUCUUGGUUCUG
rnacentral:misc_RNA from 1 species